rnacentral:rRNA from 1 species
GUCUAUGGCUACGCCACCCUGAACAAGCCCAAUUCUGUCUUAUCUCGGAAGCUAAGCAGGGUCAGGCCUGGUUAGUACUUGGAUGGGAGACCACCUAGGAAGACCAGGUGCUGUAGGCA